UCCUCUGUCUAUCCACAGAACACACACAGUUCAGGCAGCUUCAGCUACAGCUUCCCAGGGCUAUCCCCAGCCAAAGUGCCUCACCCCUGACCUGAAGGGCUACCUCUAGAGAUCAGGGGUAA
rnacentral:sRNA from 1 species